AAGUCACAGUGACUUUUGGAAUUUUGUCGUCCAUGGAUUGGGUAACAUUUGAAUAAUGACAUUUUCCUCGCUGGGCUAUUGGGGAGUUAAGUGAGAUCAUGUAUGCCUGAAAACACCCAAGUCACUGCAGAAAAUGGAGGGAGUGCAGCUUGAACGAGCUGGUUCUUUUCCUAAAUCCUUCAUCCUGGGACAUGCAAGCCAGCUUCUCCUGCCUCAGUGGGGAAGCCCUGGAUCUCUGGGAGCCUAUUAGCUGAGCCAAGUGGAGAGUUAAACAUCCAAACUGACAAGGGGGUGCAGAGCUAUUUCAGAGCACCCCACUGCCCCAGCAGAUGGUUCUGGGCCAGAUGGCUCCAGAGCAUGGGGCAAGGGGGAGGCAGCCAGGUGUUUAUUGUGGCAGCAGAGAUGUGAAAGGAAGAGUUCACUUGUCUACCUCCCUGCUCUCCCUCGGAUUUCUACUCCAGAGGGGCCACUGCCCAGCCCUGACAGAUGUGCAGUCUGGGAAGGUUUCCAGGUGCAGUGUUGGAGACACCCGAGCUUUAAUAAUCUCCAAUGCCGAAUUAUUCACUCUGUGACCCUGUCAUUUGGAGAAUACAUUGGAUGCUGGCGGAUUCACCAUACAGUACCUCAUUAGUUUUUGAACUCUUCAAAGAGAACCAAACAGCCAUCAAAUUCAAACCUGUCUGCUCCCACAAGAAACUUUCUUCCCUUGGAGCUGACAGAGAGCCCAAAGAGAGGGCGGAUCCCAGGGCCGGAAAAUCGGAAAUUCACUGUGCCUCACAGAGCAGGCGGCUUCUCCAGUCAUGACUGCUACGCUGCUCGAAAGAAAGGUUCAGGGAACCUGCCUUUGUGAUUGGUUGACACCUGCACAACGUUCAGUCCAUGCGGCAAGUGUAGCAACCAGCACCAGAAAUGUCAGCUCUCAUUAGCCGGCAUAUAAAUCUGCCUCCCUGAGAAGUGGGAUGAGAGAACCACAGAGAAAAUGCCAGGAAGCAGGAACAUAUGUUGAUCACACAAAGAGAAGCUCCGACAAUGGGCGUCUUCCUCCACAGCCCAGGCACCUGGAAGGCUUUGUUUUGCCUCAGCCCUUGGUGCCCCCGUAACAGGAGGCUGGGCAAAUGUGUUCCACCAUCCGUGGUGGGAGGUUCUGCUAAGUGUUUGCUGACACAGCUGAACAGUCGUAAAAUGUCAUAAAGAGUAAAUGACUUGAUAAUGCAAACCAGUAAUUACCAUGUGGUACAUGUUCAUGCUAUUUACAUAUUUUAACACCCUGGUAUUAACCUGCCUUUCCAAAUAG